rnacentral:misc_RNA from 1 species
AGGAACCGGAUGCGGGAAAACCGCAUAUCCGGGUCUGUGCGGGUGUCCGGUAACGGGCGUUCCUACCGGGAG